CCUACGGGGGGCUGCAGUAGGGAAUAUUGCUCAAUGGGCGAAACCCUGAAGCAGCAACGCCGCGUGGAGGAUGAAGGCUUUCGGAUUGUAAACUCCUUUUGUUAGAGAAGAUAAUGACGGUAUCUAACGAAUAAGCACCGGCUAACUCCGUGCCAGCAGCCGCGGUAAUACGGAGGGUGCAAGCGUUACACGGAAGCACUGGGCGUAAAGAGCGCGUAGGCGGGAUAGCAAGUCAGAUGUGAAAUCCUAUGGCUUAACCAUAGAACUGCAUUUGAAACUGUUAUUCUAGAGUAUGGGAGAGGUGGGUGGAAUUCUUGGUGUAGGGGUAAAAUCCGUAGAGAUCAAGAGGAAUACUCAUUGCGAAGGCGGCCUGCUGGAACAUAACUGACGCUGAUGCGCGAAAGCGUGGGGAGCAAACAGGAUUAGAUACCCCAGUAGUC
rnacentral:rRNA from 1 species